rnacentral:tRNA from 1 species
AGUCGCGUGACCGAGUGGCUAGGUGAAGGGCUGCAUUCCCUUUUACGGUAGUUCGAAUCUACCCGCGACAU